rnacentral:rRNA from 1 species
ACAUGCCAGGGUUACUGGAUAACCUCGGGAAACUGAGGAUAAACCGCGAUAAGUCAUUACUUCUGGAAUGGGUAAUGAUUAAAAUCUAUAUGGCCCCUGGAUUGGACUGCGGCCGAUCAGGCUGUUGGUGAGGUAAUGGCCCACCAAACCUGUAACCGGUACGGGCUCUGAGAGGAGGAGCCCGGAGAUGGGCACUGAGACAAGGGCCCAGGCCCUAUGGGGCGCAGCAGGCGCGAAACCUCUGCAAUAGGCGAAAGCUUGACAGGGUUACUCUGAGUGAUUUCCGUUAAGGAAAUCUUUUGGCACCUCUAAAAAUGGUGCAGAAUAAGGGGUGGGCAAGUCUGGUGUCAGCCGCCGCGGUAAUACCAGCACCCCGAGUGGUCGGGACGUUUAUUGGGCCUAAAGCAUCCGUAGCCGGUUCUACAAGUCUUCCGUUAAAUCCAACUGCUUAACAGGUGGGCUGCGGAAGAUACUAUAGAGCUAGGAGGCGGGAGAGGCAAGCGGUACUCGAUGGGUAGGGGUAAAAUCCGUUGAUCCAUUGAAGACCACCAGUGGCGAAGGCGGCUUGCCAGAACGCGCUCGACGGUGAGGGAUGAAAGCUGGGGGAGCAAACCGGAUUAGAUACCCGGGUAGUCCCAGCUGUAAACGAUGCAGACUCGGUGAUGAGUUGGCUAUAUGCCAUCUCAGUGCCGCAGGGAAGCCGUUAAGUUUGCCGCCUGGGAGUACGGUCGCAAGACUAA